GAGUUUGAUCCUGGCUCAGGAUGAACGCUAGCGACAGGCUUAACACAUGCAAGUCGAGGGGCAGCGGGGGAGGAAGCUUGCUUUCUCCUGCCGGCGACCGGCGCACGGGUGAGUAACACGUAUGCAACCUGGCCGUCACAGGUGGAUAACCGGAAGAAAUUCCGACUAAUACAGCAUAACACUCCUGAGGGACAUCCUUCGGGGGUCAAAGGAGGCGACUCCGGUGACGGAUGGGCAUGCGGCGCAUUAGGUAGUUGGUAGGGUAACGGCCUACCAAGCCGACGAUGCGUAGGGGUUCUGAGGGGAAGGUCCCCCACAUUGGAACUGAGACACGGUCCAAACUCCUACGGGAGGCAGCAGUGAGGAAUAUUGGUCAAUGGACGGAAGUCUGAACCGGCCAUGCCGCGUGCAGGAAGACGGCUCUAUGAGUUGUAAACUGCUUUUGUACAAGGGUAAACCUGAAUACGUGUAUUCAGCUGAAAGUACUGUACGGAUAAGGAUCGGCUAACUCCGUGCCAGCAGCCGCGGUAAUACGGAGGAUCCAAGCGUUAUCCGGAUUUAUUGGGUUUAAA
rnacentral:rRNA from 1 species